UCUGCCAGCAAACUCAAACCAUCUUUGACCUUGGAGGAAAACCGUGAGCUCCUUGAUCAGUGUUUCAAAAGUUUAUUUCCCCUUUCUCCCUUGGAGAAGACAAAAGAGGAAGGCGAGACAGCAAAGGAUGCUCUGCAUAUACAGUCACUGUACGUGAGAUCCUUGGAAGCCCUUGCCAAGCUAAUGGAGGAAGAACCAACCGCAGACUGGUUCCAAGAAAUGUUUGAAACUCAGGAAACUUUUAAUCGGUUUGGAUCUCUGAUUGGACGAAUAGCACCAUACAGCUGUGAUUCACUGGCCAC